GAUCAUGGCUCAGAUUGAACGCUGGCGGCAGGCUUAACACAUGCAAGUCGAACGGUAACAUAAAGAAGCUUGCUUCUUUGAUGACGAGUGGCGGACGGGUGAGUAAUGCUUGGGAAUCUAGCUUAUGGAGGGGGAUAACUACGGGAAACUGUAGCUAAUACCGCGUAAUAUCGAAAGAUUAAAGUGUGGGACCUUCGGGCCACAUGCCAUAAGAUGAGCCCAAGUGGGAUUAGGUAGUUGGCG
rnacentral:rRNA from 1 species